GACGUAGGUGGCGAACGUUAUCCGGAUUCAUUGGGCGUAAAGGGUGCGUAGGUGGCGCCAUAAGUCAGGUGUGAAAUCUCGGGGCUUAACUCCGAAACUGCAUUUGAUACUGUGGUGCUUGAGGACUGGAGAGGAGACUGGAAUUUACGGUGUAGCAGUGAAAUGCGUAGAGAUCGUAAGGAAGACCAGUGGCGAAGGCGGGUCCCUGGACAGUUCCUGACACUGAGACACGAAGGCCAGGGGAGCAAACGGG
rnacentral:rRNA from 1 species